ensembl:lncRNA
UGGCACAUGGGAUUAAUUCCCUGACCAGGAUUUGAACCUGCCUCUGCUGCAUUGAAAGCAUGGAGUCUUAACCACUGGACCAUGAGGGAAGUCCCCCUGAUGAUCUUUGUAAUUGAUGGGACAAGGCUCACCAAGAAAAGAUGGUGGCAUGAGAGCCAACUGCAAAAACAUUCUCCACUAAGUCCCAUUCUUCUAGGUUAGUCAAGGCCCAUUCUGUAUUGACAUCUGCAUUGGCCUACGACCUAA